AGAUUUAUAAUUAACAUAUAAUAUUUAAUUUGCAAUUAAAACUAGUUAGUACCUAACUAAAUCUA
rnacentral:tRNA from 1 species